CGACAAGCUGUCUAGGGUUCCGCUGGUUAGCACAGGCGCACUCCUUUUGAUGAAAGGAAUCGCCGGUUGUUAAGCAGGCCUGGUCCGAGAGACGGCAUAUAGCAGGGCGGUUGUUUUACAGCUUAGCCCGCUAUAGUACACGGAAGGAUAAAAGCCUGGGAGAC
rnacentral:sRNA from 2 species